UCCUGCCUGUCCAUCCUCUCCAUCUUCAUGCAAAACAGAUACACUGUCACUUCAUUCAGUUGCAUCAUCUUCAGACACGCAGCCAUGCACAUCAGACAGUGAUGGUUCUUUCCUCUCACCUAAAAGAGCCCGUGUUGAUGGCCAUUUUCCAGAGCUACACAUAUGCCUGAAAAUGCAAAUACUCUAUUUUCUUGGAUGAAUUUACAGUUUUUAUCCUAGUUUUUAAGCUUUUCAAAAGUGUCUUGGAAAAGGUGAAUUCUCGGGACUGCACUUGCAGACAUGAUUGAAAAACAUGGGAAUAUUCCACCAAAGGAGACCAGUGUUAAAUGGGAAUUGUGACUCGGUUCCCCACCCUCAAGUAUCCCUACUCCAGAAAAGACUAUGUGUUUCAAGACUAAUAGUUAUUAAUUAGAGUGGAGACUUUAUCUAAACUUCUGGAGAAGUGGGGCUCUUCUAUGAAACAAAAUGUUAUCGAAGAAGCCAACAACCUGACCCAGUCGCUGCUUUUGAGUGGUCUGAUUCAGUCUGCAGAGUUGUGCAACACCAGCAAGGAGCUACAGAUUGGGACAGUGACAUGUCUUCCAUAUUGUUGCUUGUGUAUUUCCUACCACCACCUC